UACGAAGGGGGCUAGCGUUGCUCGGAAUCACUGGGCGUAAAGGGUGCGUAGGCGGGUCUUUAAGUCAGGGGUGAAAUCCUGGAGCUCAACUCCAGAACUGCCUUGAUACUGAAGAUCUUGAGUUCGGGAGAGGUGAGUGGAACUGCGAGUGUAGAGGUGAAAAUUCGUAGAUAUUCGCAAGAACACCAGUGGCGAAGGCGGCUCACUGGCCCGAUACUGACGCUGAGGCACGAAAGCGUGGG
rnacentral:rRNA from 1 species